UUUGGUCAAGCUAGAAAGAGCACAUGGUGAAUGCCUUGGCAUCUGAAGGCGAUGAAGGACGUGGUAAGCUGCGAUAAGCUACGGGGAGCGGCAAACACGCAUUGAUCCGUAGAUUUCCGAAUGAGGCAACUCCGUUCCGGUCAUGCGGGACGAUCGUCGGUUGAAUUCAUAGACCGGCGAGGCAAAACCAGGCGAAGUGAAACAUCUCAGUAGCCUGAGGAAAAGAAAACAACCGUGAUUUCCCAAGUAGUGGCGAGCGAACGGGAAACAGCCUAAACUGCGGCGUUUACGCCGCAGGGUCGCGGGACUCCGAUGUGGUAUGAGUGACGGUAGCUGAAGGUUCUGGAAAGUUCCUCCAUAGAGGGUGAAAGGCCCGUAAGCGAAACCGAAACAAGACCUAGGAGUAUCCCAAGUAGAGCGGGACACGUGAAACCCUGCUUGAAUCUGGUGGGUUCACCCACUAAGGCUAAAUACUAACAGAUGACCGAUAGUGAACUAGUACCGUGAGGGAAAGGUGAAAAGAACCCCUGCUAGGGGAGUGAAAUAGAACCUGCAACCGUGUGCUUACAAACUGUGGUAGUCCCGCCUCGGCGGGAUGGCCGCAUGCCUUUUGCAUAAUGAGUCCGCGAGUUAUUGUAUGCAGCAAGGUUAACACUGUCUCCAACGAGAUGGUGGCAGCCGUAGCGAAAGCGAGUGCGAAAUGCGCGUCCAGUUGCAUGCGAUAGACCCGAAGCCGUGUGAGCUACCCAUGGCCAGGAUGAAACGAGGGUAACACCUCGUGGAGGUCCGAACUAGUGGCCGUUGAAAAGGCCUUGGAUGAGCUGUGGGUGGGAGCGAAAGACUAAACAAACUCGGUGAUAGCUGGUUCUCCUCGAAAUAACUUUAGGGUUAGCCUGCACGAAUGCUCGUACCGGAGGUAGAGCACUGAAUGGACUAGGGUCCUUACCGGGAUUCCGAAGCCAAUCAAACUCCGAAUGCCGGUGCAGUCACGUGCGGAGAUAGGCCGUAGGGGAUAAGCUCUACGGCCAAAAGGGAAACAGCCCAGACCGCCAGUUAAGGCCCUUAAAGUCGAUUAAGUGCGUAAGGAUGUGGGAUUGCUAAGACAGCUAGGAUGUUGGCUUAGAGGCAGCCAUCAUUUAAACAGUGCGUAACAGCUGACUAGUCGAGUGAUCUCGCGCCGAAAAUGAUCGGGACUAAAUCGACUGCCGAGACUGCGGAUUGCGCCGCAAGGCGCAGUGGUAGAGGAGCGUUCCAUGCUGCUUGAAGCGGGAAGGUAACUGACCGUGGACAGCAUGGAAGUGAUUAUGCGGACAUGAGUAACGAUAAACCAGGUGAGAAUCCUGGUCGCCGUAAUCCCAAGAUUUCCUGGGGAAGGUUCGUCCUCCCAGGGUUAGUCGGUGCCUAAGCUGAGGCCGAAAGGCGUAAGCGAUGGACAACAGGUUUAAUAUUCCUGUACCACCGGCUUGAGUGAUGGAGUGACGCAGACAGUGAUGUCGGCCGCCGAUCGGAAGUGGCGGUCCAAAUCCUUAGAGGGUCCUGGUUGGUAAAUCCGCCGGGGCAACCUUGAGGGACGAUGGGACGUUGCGGCUACGGCCAAGACGGAUUGACAGGUACUUUGCUGCCAAGAAAAGCUCCUAGCGUUAAUCAAGCAGGUGACCGUAUCUGAAACCGACACAGGUGGGAAGGUAGAAGAUACCAAGGCGCGCGAGAGAAACCUCGUUAAGGAACUCGGCACACUAGCCCCGUAACUUCGGAAGAAGGGGUCCUCCCAAGAGUCAUCCUCACGGAAAAGCUUUUAGGAGGCGCAGUGAAUGGGCUCAGGCGACUGUUUAACAAAAACACAGCACUCUGCUAAGUCGCAAGACGAUGUAUAGGGUGUGACACGUGACCAAUGCUGUAAGGUGAAGGCAAGGCGUUAGCCGCAAGGCGAAGCGCUGACCCGAAGCCCCAGUGAAUGUCGGCCGUAACUAUAACGGUCCUAAGGUAGCGAAAUUCCUUGUCGGGUAAGUUCCGACCUGCACGAAUCGUGUAACGAUCUGAGCGCUGUCUCAACGAGGAUCUCGGUGAAGUUGUAAUUCCGGUGCAAAUGCCGGAUACCCGCAGUAGGACGGAAAGACCCUGUGAACCUUUACUUCAAUCUGGUAUUGGGUUCUGGUUGGUUAUAUGUAGCAUAGCUGGGAGGCAUCGAAGCCCGGUCGUUAGGCCGGGUGGAGCCAUCAGUGAAAUACCAGUUUUAAUUAACCGGAAUUCUAACCGUGUCCCGUAUAACCGGGCAAGGAACAGUGCCAGAGGGCAAGUUUGACUGGGGCGGUUUCCUCCAAAAUGAUAACGGAGGAGUUCGAAGGUUUCCUCAGCACGGUCGGCAAUCGUGCGGAGAGCGUAUAGGUAGAAGGAAGCUUAACUGCGAGACCUACAAGUCGAGCAGGUGCGAAAGCAGGACUAAGUGAUCCGGUGGUUGUUAGUGAUAGCGCCAUCGCUCAACGGACAAAAGGUACUCCGGGGAUAACAGGCUGAUCGCCGCCAAGAGUCCAUAUCGACGCGGCGGUUUGGCACCUCGAUGUCGGCUCAUCACAUCCUGGGGCUGGAGAAGGUCCCAAGGGUUUGGCUGUUCGCCAAUUAAAGUGGUACGUGAGCUGGGUUCAGAACGUCGUGAGACAGUUCGGUCCUUAUCCACUGUGGGCGCAGGAGAUUUGAGGGGAACAUUCCUUAGUACGAGAGGACCGGGAAUGACGUACCUCUGGUGUUCCGGUUGUCAUGCCAAUGGCAUUGCCGGGUAGCUAUGUACGGAAUGGAUAAGCGCUGAAGGCAUCUAAGCGCCAAGCCGUCCCCAAGAUCAUAUCUCCCUUCGGUCGCAAGACCGACUCAAGGCAGGUUGAAGACUACGACCUUGAUAGGCUGGAUGUGUAAGCACAGCGAUGUGUUUAGCCAACCAGUACUAAUCCGCCGUGAGGCUUGACCUU
rnacentral:rRNA from 1 species